GACGAACGCUGGCGGCGUGCCUAAUACAUGCAAGUAGAACGCACAGUUUAUACCGUAGCUUGCUACACCAUAGACUGUGAGUUGCGAACGGGUGAGUAACGCGUAGGUAACCUGCCUGGUAGCGGGGGAUAACUAUUGGAAACGAUAGCUAAUACCGCAUAAUAUUAAUUAUUGCAUGAUAAUUAAUUGAAAGGUGCAAUUGCACCACUACCAGAUGGACCUGCGUUGUAUUAGCUAGUAGGUGAGGUAACGGCUCACCUAGGCGACGAUACAUAGCCGACCUGAGAGGGUGAGCGGCCACACGGGGACUGAGACACGGCCCAGACUCCUACGGGAGGCAGCAGUAGGGAAUCUUCGGCAAUGGACGAAAGUCUGACCGAGCAACGCCGCGGGAGUGAAGAAGGUUUUCGGAUCGUAAAGCUCUGUUGUAAGAGAAGAACGGGUGUGAGAGUGGAAAGUUCACACUGUGACGGUAUCUUACCAGAAAGGGACGGCUAACUACGUG
rnacentral:rRNA from 1 species